rnacentral:rRNA from 1 species
UGGGGAAUUUUGGACAAUGGGCGAAAGCCUGAUCCAGCCAUGCCGCGUGCAGGAUGCAGGCCUUCGGGUUGUAAACUGCUUUUGUACGGAACGAAAAGACUCUUUCUAAUAAAGAGGGUCCAUGACGGUACCGUAAGACUCAGCACCGGCUAACUACGUUCCAGCAGCCGCGGUAAAACGUAGGAGGCAAGCGUUAUCCGGAGUUACUGGGCGUAAAGCGCGUGUAGGUGGAUUGGUAAGUUACUUAUGAAAGCUCCUGGCUAAACUAGGAGAGGUUGAGUGAUACUGCCAGUCUUGAAUAGAGGAGAGGUUGACGGAAUUCCGCGUGUAGUGGUGAAAUGCGUAGAGAUGCGGAAGAACACCAGUGGCGAAGGCGGUCAACUGGCCUCAUAUUGGCACUCAGACGCGAAGGCAUGGGUAGCGAA